GUGCUUGCUUUGGCAGCACAUAUACUAAAAUUGGAACAAUACAGAAAAGAUUAGCAUGGUCCCUGCUCAAGGAUAACAUACAAAUUUGUGAAACACUUCAUGUUUUU
rnacentral:snRNA from 1 species